rnacentral:lncRNA from 1 species
UAAAACGUGUAACAAUAUGUAUUUGUUAAUACAUUUGUAUUAUAUUCUGUUAUUUUUGUAUCUGGCAGUGAUAUUAUUUGAAUUUUGUUUCAUAAAAUCUUUGGUACUAAGUUCACAAGAUUAUUUUUUUUUAUAUUAAAAAAUCAUCUUUUAAUAUUGUAUUGUAGGGUAAAAAGUGAUGGGCAUUACAUUUUGUAAAUUUAUAGUACAUGAUUUAUAACCUAAGAAAUCACAUUUCAAAGUAAACAAUCAUUUUACAAGAGUUGACAAUUUUUCAAGUUGGAAAACAAAUUUGUUUUGUUAUAAUGAAGGGAUCUGAAUGACUCUAGGCCUAGACGAAUAAAAAGUUUCAUUAAUAAUUUUUGUUUACAUCUGGUCUAAUUGUGGUACAAAGUUCAUAAAUGACGAUCUAGAUUUACAUAAAUAAAAUUUUACUCUAGGGUCCGAGACCAGUUAUUUCGUAGUGCAUUUCCUAAAGACAAUAAAUAAAAAUAAAAAAAAUCCAACCUUUGCUUUCUGAAUAAUAUUUUUACAGUGUGUUGUACUAAUUUUGUGACAAAUUAUAUCUAGAAAACGUCAUCAGCUCUAACUCAAAAUAUGGACACUUUUAUGUUUAAGGUUUUUUUUUUAAUCUUUUGACAGCUUUGAAAAUGCUAACUUUUAACCUUUUUAGCUGGACCAAAUCACUACAUGACUUUCAAAUUCAUGACCCAAACUUUUUUACAGUGUCAUUUCAUCCCCCUACUUGCUAUUUGAGGCAUAAAACUUGAAGAAAUAAAUUUGGAAGGGGUAUAAAAAAAAUUAGCAAGUAACACACUGUCCAGACUAGGGACUAUAUUAUUGGACAUCGAAAAUCAAGGGACGAUGACUGUGUACUCGGACCUUAUAUUAUGCAGUUAAAAAUAACAAGAGGUAGGAUAAUAACAUAGCAAUAAUACAUUCAAGUGUGAGGAGAUUGUGACUUUCAUUUGAAAAUCUAUACUCCAGUUUUUGCAAUCUGACAUGUUUUUUUUUUUUUUGGAUAGUUCUAAUUACAAGAUCUGAUGUAUUCUCUGGUAUUGUCAUCAUACAUUGUACAUGUAGUACAUGUAGAAUGUAGUUAUACAGAUUGAUGAAAAAGUGUUUUUUUUUUAAUAUUGAAUCUGAUAUAAGAUUAGGCAUGUGUUCUACCAUUAUGGUAGAAUAAAAUAGCUUUAUUUUUCUAAACAAAUUAUGAAUUUUGUUUUUUUUCUAACAUUUAAAGUAGAUAUUUGUACUACACAAUUUAAAAAAAAAUCCGUAGGUUUUGAUGUUUUUAUUUCUUUUGACAUCAAGAUUUUCAGGUUACCCGGUAUAUUGGAAGAAAUAGGAUUCGAUAAUGAUUGUUAUUUCUGCCAUGCUGUAUUUAUUGUCCUAUAGUCAUAGCCUUGUGUUUGUUAAAGUUUAAUAGUAUUAAAGUAUGUUUCGUG